UACAGAGGUCUCAAGCGUUGUUCGGAUUCAUUGGGCGUAAAGGGUGCGUAGGCGGCGCGGUAAGUCGGGUGUGAAAUCUCGGAGCUUAACUCCGAAACUGCAUUCGAUACUGCCGUGCUUGAGGACUGGAGAGGAGACUGGAAUUUACGGUGUAGCGGUGAAAUGCGUAGAUAUCAGGAGGAACACCGGUGGCGAAGGCGGCUUUCUGGACAGAUACCGACGCUGAGGCACGAAAGCUAGGGGAGCAAACAGG
rnacentral:rRNA from 1 species